AGAUGCCCUUGUGCUUAAGUCUUAGCGCCCAUGAACAGGUUCAGUAAAUCUCAAUUGUCCGAAAAUGAGGCCAAGAGAGAAUGACCGCGGAAUUCAAUGCCGUUAAUGCGAAGUAGUCACGUAUGUCCUUACUCGAAUAAUCGCAUUAAUCAGGCAAAAGAACUCAAUGACACCUCAAACUAGGAGCGCAUGCUUGGCUAGUUCAAGAACAAGAGACAUUGGUGGAAAUGUAUAAGUAUGGAAUCCAGGCGAACAACCUUAGGUCAACUUGGAAUGUUUUCGCAAGACGGCAAAUUGCAUGAUUAAAGAGUGAUAGGGAUAGGUGGUAGGUUGAAGAUAUAAUGAGCCAGACCUAUCUCUCCUUGUUCAUGAUGUUAAUGCUUCGUUUUCUGUUAUAUGUCACCGAUGUGUUCUAUUGGGUGUACUCACAGUCAGUGUUGUUGAUUGUUUUCGCAAGUUUUCGCUUUGCGUCAGUAUGCAGUUUAGUUAAUGG
rnacentral:sRNA from 1 species